rnacentral:piRNA from 1 species
UGGACAUGGACGUUUGCCACGGAAAAGGC